rnacentral:rRNA from 1 species
AGCAGUCGCCACGGGAAUACGGAGGGUGCAAGCGUUAUCCGGAUUUAUUGGGUUUAAAGGGUCCGUAGGCGGAUCUGUAAGUCAGUGGUGAAAUCUCACAGCUUAACUGUGAAACUGCCAUUGAUACUGCAGGUCUUGAGUAAAUUUGAAGUGGCUGGAAUAAGUAGUGUAGCGGUGAAAUGCAUAGAUAUUACUUAGAACACCAAUUGCGAAGGCAGGUCACUAAGAUUUAACUGACGCUGAUGGACGAAAGCGUGGGGAGCGAACAGGAUUAGAUACCCGAGUAGUCCCUGUCUCUUAUAC